GCUGGGUGUAGUGGUGGCUGCUGUAGUCCCAGCUACUAGGGAGGCUGGGGUGGAGGAUUGCUUGAGCUCAGGAGUUCUGGGUUGCAGUUCGCUAUGCCAAUCGGUGUUCACAUUAAGUUCAGCAUCAGUAUUGUGACCUCCCAGGAACAAAGGACCACCUAAGGAGGGAUGAACCAGCCCAGGUCAGAAACAGAGCAGGUCAAAACCUCUGUGCUCAUCAGUAGCAGGUUGUGCCUGCAAAUAGCAUUACUCUCCAGCCAGGGCAACGCGGGAGACCUGUCUCUAA
rfam:Otolemur garnettii contig181454, whole genome shotgun sequence.